GGUAAACACACCACUGAUCCUAGAGACUUAAAACGGCAACGAGUCUGCUUGUUGACUUACAUGCCCACAUACACCAUGUCGUUAUGAUCAUCAGAGUUCAGCUCAAGUCUGUCAUGUUUAUUAUUUGUCUGUGGGCUUUUGUUGGGCCCAUGUCUUCUUGGGCGUAUCAUAGCUUAGUGCACCACGUCAACUUUGGUAUGGGCCAUGUUCGUACAGUCACUGAUCGGGCGACGGUGUUCUGCCAACGUUCAUCCCCGUCAUUCGGUUCUGGGAUGUGGUUUUAGCGGUGUUUGCUUGAAAGUUUCAUUCAGGAAGUUUCCACUUCCUAAAUGAAAGACAUUGUUGUUGCUUGAGCCUGGCUCAUGUCUAAGCCAGGGAGCCGUACUGAUCUACACUAGGCCUGGGCGAUUAAUCGAAUUUUGAUCGCGAUUUCGAUUUUAGCGUCAAACGAUAAGGAAGUUAUCUUUUUUUUUUU